AACGCAUCAACCCACAAAUGUCCUUUUCCUUUCGAGCACUCUUCCAUGAUGCCAGCCAUGAAAACAAACUUCUAAUCCUCCAUGAAAUCUGCUCCUUUGGCCCAACAAAGGCAGACUAAUGAGGCAAAUGACAGCAAUGCAGACACAGUGAGAUUAGGGUGAGUUAUAUAACCUUUAACCCCUCCUCCACCUACGCCUCAUCACAUCGUAUUGCUUCAUCCACGUCGAUCCACCGUAAACGAGAGCCUGUGUUUAUGAAUGCUAUUCGGUUCAGGUGAACAAAUGGCGUGACUGCGUGGCAAGGCAGAAUGUCACGGUGCGUGUGAAAAAGGGCCCGGAGAAGACAAAGCUCAGAGCUGCGCACUUAUUAGACCUGUGUCCUUGGCAGAUGCAGGGCUUGCCCUUUGUUAGCAAGGUGUGUGCGUGGCUUUUACAAUGGCGGUGAUUUAGAACGGAUUGAGCCGAGGCGUGGAGACAAGGUGCCGUAGCCCCACGGCUCCCUGAUCGCUGGCAGCGUGACAGCUGGGAAUGGAGCGCAGGGAACAAGCUGAGAGCGAGAACGGGAGAGGACAAGCCGGGUGAGGGAGAUGGGACAUCAUGAGUGGACUUUGGGUGAAGUCCAUCAGAGCCGAGCUUUGUUAACAUCCUCUCGACAAGUUUGGGUUAGAACCCCGCCUGACCAGACGGCGGCCUCGGGCCAGCGGCCACCUAACGUGCUGGCGAGAGGGAGUGCUUCCCUACCUCAUUGCCUUGGAUGAUGUGAUGGAUGUGCCUCAGGUAGUGGCUGCCCCCUGCUUUGUGGCAGACCUCCAG